UUCCGCCGCAGUUCCCCGGCGUAGGCCGGGGCCUAGGGGCGAGCGUUUCACCUAGGCCCCGGCCUACGCCGGGGAACAAUCGCGGCUUUGA
rnacentral:miRNA from 1 species